GCUCCCGUGGCCUAAUGGUAGGGCAUACGACUCCUAAUCGUGGGAUUGUGGGUUCGAGUCCCGCCGGGGGCG
rnacentral:tRNA from 1 species